GAAAAACAUGGAGAACACCGUACCAUCUCCGAGACCAGGUUGCGUUUUUGAGACCAAUUCCUGGGUUCCAUUCCGAGUUUGGGACGGAAUGUCUUUGCUGAGGUAAAGUUGGAGAUGUUGUCAAAAAUAUACAAUCAAAACAUCAAAUGAGUUUACAGAUAUCCAUUUCUGAGGAGGAAACUGACGUUUGCUGCUUAGUAUAUAAGCCUGACAAUGUUGCAGUUCCAUAUGCAAUACAUAUAUGGCAUGAUAAUUUAUGAUAAGCAUGGUAUUACUCAGAAUAAUGUGUGUGCGUGCGUGCGUGUGUGCUGGCGUAUGUAAACAU